rnacentral:lncRNA from 10 species
UUCACUCCCCCCCCACCCCACCCCGCACUCUGCUUACUAAAUCUGCAUUGGCUAAGGUCAACAACAAUUAACUCUAGUGUUUAAACUAGUGGUAAACACUAAACUUCAUCAUCUUGACCUAUAGGUAGUCAUGGCAUGGCUACCUGUGACCUCUCCAAUCCCAUCUCCCAGGUUUCUCUCUCAUUAUUUUUCACCCCCUCUGGCCUCCUUGUUGUUCUGAACACACCAGAUCAUCCCGUCCAGCUGUGCACUUGCUAUUCCAUCUGCCUCGGGGACUCUGCCCCUAGAUAUGUGCUGGUUGCAUUUCCUCACCUUCUGGUUUCUGCUCACCCAGUCAGUGAGGGCUUCCCAGACAACCUUUUCAAAAAUAGCAAUCUCUUUCUUACC